UACGAAGGGGGCUAGCGUUGUUCGGAAUUACUGGGCGUAAAGCGCGCGCAGGCGGUCUUCCAAGUCAGUGGUGAAAGCCCGGAGCUCAACUCCGGAACUGCCAUUGAAACUGUAAGACUUGAGGACGAGAGAGGUGAGUGGAAUUCCCAGUGUAGAAGUGAAAUUCGUAGAUAUUGGGAAGAACACCGGUGGCGAAGGCGGGUCUCUGGGCAGUAACUGACGCUGAGGAGCGAAAGCGUGGGGAGCGAACAGG
rnacentral:rRNA from 1 species